UGCUAUGAUGAACACUAUGAUCAAAAGCA
rnacentral:piRNA from 1 species